CUAUUGAGGGCACCUGCCGCAGGGUUAGUCCUCAGGGUACGGGCGCCAGUGGGUUUCCUUUGGUUGACUGCUGACAAUGCGUUUGUAAAAUGGCAGCCCGCACUAGGUGAUGUUGAAGCCACAGAAGACACGGCAGUGGGAAAAGCAGCAGGAGCCGCUGCCCUGAGGAGCCUCCAAGCCCAGGCAGAGGGCCAGCCGCACAGAUGGUGUUGGAACCGAACUAGAGGACACCUGGCUGAUGUCCACUGCUUGGUGUGUGUGGCAAAACCCUCCACACAUUUGGUCACAGAAGUCUUCUGGGUUGAUAAUUUUCUGUGGCGUGAGAGCAGAGGGAAGACACAGUUUGAGGUGAGUUUUUGCCUCUACACCAUUCAUAUGAAGUAUCUAAAACAGUCAAACUUAGAAAAGCAGAAAACAGAAUGGUGGUCGCUAGGAAAGGCCAGGAGAGGGAAAAGGAAGAUAUUGAUCCAUAGUUCAGUUACUUGAGAUGAGUGACUUCUAGAGAUCUGCUGUACGUCACAGUGCCUAGAGUUAACAAUAAGGUUUUAUGCACUCUUGAGCAACUCCUAAGAAGUGACUGAUCAUGCUUUUGACCUUGCAAGGAAAAAUCGUGGUAGAAAGCAAAAAUCCCUUGACGUACUUUUCAACAACUCAAGAUGCUAUUUAAAGGCUUUGAACAUUAAUAGACAGUUGUAAAGCCUUAACCUUUUACGAGAGUGGUUUUAUGUCUUUUAAAUGAAAAGAAGCACAUUUCAUUGAAUUUUAGCUGCAUUUUUGUCCUGUAGUAGCUGAAGAUUCAGAAUCUCUCAGAUGUUCAUCAUCUGGUGAAUAGAAGCUAGUAUUUUUUUUCUUUUUAUCUUCAUGUUUCUCUUUGAUAGCCCAGCUGUGUAGAUCUAAAACUCAAAAAAGUUUAUUUUAUUUUUUCCCUUUAGGUGGGAUUUAUCUUCUUUAAGACAACUUCCCGACCUUGGGCACGUAGAAGGCAGCUGAAGGCAGUGGUGGAUUCUGUCAUUUCAAGCAAAAUCACAUUCAAUUUUUUGACAGCCGCAGGCUUGGGUGGUGUUAAAUUGUGUCAUUUUAGUAUUAAAGAAACACGAUAAAACUUUCAAAGCCUGAUCAUGUGUCUCGGCUGUUUACUGUGGAAAGGUAGGAAAUUGGCUAGAGCAAAAACUAUUCAUGUGAAAAAUAAGGAUUUCAGGUACCUCAGACAACCACACAGACAUAACCCACGGUUUAAAUUGGUAUUUGUGUGGCUAUAUUUGGAGGCAUAAAAAAAUAAACAGAUGUGGAUUUAUCA
rnacentral:lncRNA from 13 species